GUGGCAGAGAGGUUUUGCUUAGCAGCAGAUCCGUGUGAGACCUGCAGGACUCCAUCCCCAGAGCUUUUCUUUUCCAUCAGUGACUGUGAGUGAAAGCAGCUUUCACAUCAGAGGGUGAAGAGGUGCCACUUAACCUGAACUCUCAAGGUACAUUCUAGGAAAGAGGCGUCAACCCUGACCCUGUGUACUUGGUAUCCAGUUCUAUGCCAGGGCAGGCAAAGUCCAGCAUCUGGGCAACCCAGAAAGCAUGAGGAGGACCCAGCUCAGGGAUUAUCAUCAGGACACAGUGAGAGGCCACGGUGACGGGAAUUCAGUCUUCCACCCAACCUGCAAUCUGUGAACCAUGGAAAGGGCUCUCAUAGACACCUUGGGAGACUGUGAACAUGCCCAUUUAGCCAAGGACAAGAGCUGGCUCUGCCAAAGAUCCAAGAACUACCUUAACCCUGCAGUUAUGAGUGGGGGCAGUUUUGUUUGGUUUUUUUGGGAGGGGGAGGGUUGAAGCAAGGUGUUACCAUGUAGCCCUG